CCAACGGCCCUCUUUAGGGCCACAAAUUAGCCAAUAAUCCAAAUUG
rnacentral:ncRNA from 13 species